GAAGUACAUCAUUCCUAACCCAUACAACUUUGUACAAAUUUUACACCACAUUGUACACAUGGUUAAUGGCGGAACUACAUUAGAACCAGAGUGGGCCUAGGCCCACCCUCAAAAUUUGAAAAAAAAUUUCGUAUAAGGUUCACCCUUUUUCAAACCAUCUCUAAAAUAAUUUGAAACCCAAAAUCCAUCCAUUCACUCAAAUCAAUGCCAAAUCGUCAAAUCGGAAAGGUAGAAAGCAUGUUGAACAUCGUCGUCAUUCUAAUCCUCUUAAUUGAAAUUGGCACCGGUAGCGGGAGUCGGAGAUAGGAGAAAUUGAGCAAGACAGUAAUCAGGUACCUCCUCAACUAAGGGGAAGGAGCUGGCAGGGUAGCAGCACAUCGCACACACAUGAUUUCCACUUUGAGAGACCUGGGAUUGUACUCUCAUGUUUUUCUAUUUGAUGAUAUGUUUUUUGAGACUUGUGAUUUGUGAGUUGAUGCUUGAAAUGAUAACAAUGAUGUUUUCCGUAAACUAUUUUCAUAAGUAAUACAAUUAAGGGAAAAAAUUGGGUCUCGAUUUUGGGAUGUUAGACAUAUCUUCUUCGAUGUAAAAUAUGUUCAAACCAUUCAAUAUUUCUUGUGACA